AUGCAAGUCGAACGGUAACAGGAAUAGCUUGCUAUUUGCUGACGAGUGGCGGACGGGUGAGUAAUGCUUGGGAACUUGCCUUUGCGAGGGGGAUAACAGUUGGAAACGACUGCUAAUACCGCAUAAUGUUUUCGAACCAAACGGGGCUUAGGCUCCGGCGCAGAGAGAGGCCCAAGUGAGAUUAGCUAGUUGGUAAGGUAAAAGCUUACCAAGGCGACGAUCUCUAGCUGUUCUGAGAGGAAGAUCAGCCACACUGGGACUGAGACACGGCCCAGACUCCUACGGGAGGCAGCAGUGGGGAAUAUUGCACAAUGGGGGAAACCCUGAUGCAGCCAUGCCGCGUGUGUGAAGAAGGCCUUCGGGUUGUAAAGCACUUUCAGUUGUGAGGAAAGGGUAGUAGUUAAUACCUGCUAUCUGUGACGUUAGCAACAGAAGAAGCACCGGCUAACUCCGUGCCAGCAGCCGCGGUAAUACGGAGGGUGCGAGCGUUAAUCGGAAUUACUGGGCGUAAAGCGCACGCAGGCGGUUUGUUAAGCUAGAUGUGAAAGCCCCGGGCUCAACCUGGGACGGUCAUUUAGAACUGGCAGACUAGAGUCUUGGAGAGGGGAGUGGAAUUCCAGGUGUAGCGGUGAAAUGCGUAGAUAUCUGGAGGAACAUCAGUGGCGAAGGCGACUCCCUGGCCAAAGACUGACGCUCAUGUGCGAAAGUGUGGGUAGCGAACAGGAUUAGAUACCCUGGUAGUCCACACCGUAAACGCUGUCUACUAGAUGUUUGUGGAUUUAAUCCGUGAGUAGCGAAGCUAACGCGAUAAGU
rnacentral:rRNA from 1 species